UACGUAGGGGGCUAGCGUUGUCCGGAAUUAUUGGGCGUAAAGAGCUCGUAGGCGGUUUGUCGCGUCUGCUGUGAAAACUCGGGGCUUAACUCCGGGCCUGCAGUGGGUACGGGCAGACUAGAGUGCGGUAGGGGAGACUGGAAUUCCUGGUGUAGCGGUGAAAUGCGCAGAUAUCAGGAGGAACACCGGUGGCGAAGGCGGGUCUCUGGGCCGUAACUGACGCUGAGGAGCGAAAGCGUGGGGAGCAAACAGG
rnacentral:rRNA from 1 species